AGGUUGUGCCAAGUGGUGCUCGACAGACUGCGGAGUCUGAAACACAAAUGCCAUCAACAGCAGAAACCAUCGAUCCCUUGUUUUACCCUAGUUGGUAUAAGGCCAAAUCACGGCAAGCAAGCAGCCCAAGUUUGACCCAACUGAGUGAUGGGUUGGGCCAAGUAGGGCCGUCCAUUUCUCUGGAAAUGAAUGUAAAGAAGGCAGAAACUACAGAAGCAGCAACAAACAAUGAGUGUGCACCUGGGAGUGGUAAGGAAACUAGCACAACUGCAGCUACUUCCCAGAACUGUUACAAAGAAUUAGGGCCGCAUCCUGCACGCCACACUCAGACUGGGUCUGAACCAUCCCCUCAAGGACAAGUGGAAGACGUUCCAGUGAGCAGUGAAAGAGCUGAUGAGCCGGCUCGUCAUGUCUUCUCUUUCUCCUGGUUAAACUCAUUGAAUGAAUGAUGAGUAUCAUUCCGGCUGGCUUUGGAUGUGCUUACCUGAGAGGAGCUAUGAGGCAGCAAGUGACCUGGCUGGAACCAACAAGAAAUAGUCCAUAUAAGAGACAUCUUGAUCAGGUUUAAUUCCAAGGGCCUUAUUUGAAUUCCAUGAGACUGUAUCUGAUACUUUUAGAUUAGAGUGAUGUUUGGAAAUAGCUGAAUAAAGGGAGUGGGAAAACUGGACUAAUAGAUGUCUUGAUGAAAUACUAUAUUAAAUUUGACUGUGUGUUCAAGUAAAACCUGUUUCAGAAAGGAGAAUGUUGAACAGAAGCUUCAUGCUAUAAUUACAGUUGCAAAAUUAGUGAGCACUAUGAUUGUUUGUAGCCAGCCUGGGUGUCCUGUUGUAUUUUUGUAAGUGCUUACCCAACACUGUUAGUUGAAAUAUGACUAAUGGCAUCAUUUGUCAAUGAAAAUAUGACCCCCUCACUACUCUUAAUUACUCCAGUUGGAGUAACUCCAUCUUUUCAACUUAUUGAUAAUGCUUGUGGCAAAUCCUUGAUGAAAGCUACAGAAUUCAAAGGUAAGUCUAAAACUCCACUCAACACAACCACUGUGCUGCAUUACUCCAGCACAAGUGGUGCUACUGCAUGCUGAUGUGUAAUAACUGAGCAUAAAUGGGGAUGGCAAGAGGAGCAUUUCACCCUUAGAUUUGUAUUUUCCAGCUGAGGUUCAUAGGUCACAAUGAAUAACACUUGAACCAUUCAGAAAUGUUAUUUGGUGUUACAUUUUAUAUAGCUGUAGACAUUAAAGAUAUAGCUAUAGGAAGCACUGGAUUGGAACCCUUCCCAAAUUAUGUGGGAUAUGGAUUGGUAUGUGGUUUAUUAUCUGUACUUCCUCAAAAGGCAAGGAGAGGGUUCUGGAUGAGUAUGUCAGCUUGUGCCUGUCUAUAUCCAUAUCUGUUAUACCUAUAGCUUCUCAACUUCCUUUAAUACAUGAAAUCAACACUCACUUUUAUCAUAUUGAGCAAUUUGAUAGUAAAAGGGCAAGACCUUUGAAACCACAAAAGACCAUUCUGAGCUGAACUGUGAUGAGUUUAUUGCAAGUAUCUGUUAAAGAUUGCAUUUAAAAGAUUAUAAACCCAUGGAAAAGGCUACCACAGUGCAGAGAGAAGUGUACUACAGAUAUUUAACUAAUGAAACUGAUUACAUAAACUGACAUGCCUUUUAAAAUGGUGAGCAGAUUGACAUUGCAUUUGAUUCUGAAGGUGAAAUCCUGGGAGUUUUCCCACUGACUUCCAUGGGGUCAGGAUUUCACCCUAACACUCUAAGGAAAAAUGAUUACAGAAUUGAAUACUGUAUUUCCUAAUGGGUGCUGACUGUCAUCAUCUCUGAAAGAGUUCAAUAGUCUUUGAGAGUGAUCAAUAUCUUACAGGGUUAGGGUCUAAGAGAGGGAUCCAAAGCCCAUUGAAGUCAAGGGGAAUCUUUCCACUGACUUCAAUGGGCUUUGGAUCAGGCCCUGAAUACAUAGCUCUUCUUAUAGUACCAUGACUGACCAUGAAGACAUGCUUUUUUUUUUUUUCAUGGUACCAUAGUCAAUAGCAUGAAAUGGUUGAUUAAUACAUGCUAGAAGGCAAUAUAGUCUAAUGUGGGAGCCAAGUAAUUCUUGAAUACAAAAGCCCAAUUCUGACAACAGUUUGCAAUGUAGCCUUUGGAAAGCCACUUACUAUCUAUGUUGUUUCUGUUUUUCUUCCUGUAAAAUGGGACUAUGAAGGAUGGAUUUGAGGAUCAAUUAGUUAAUGUUUGUAAAGAGCUUUGAAAUAACAAAGCAUAUGUUAAGAGUUAUAUCUUCACUGAACAGCAGUAAAAUUCAUCACCACAUCCAGUUGUGUUUUUUCCACAAGAUUUUGUUCUUGUUUUUUGACAAGAAAUUCCUAAUGAAUAUUUGCAACCAGG